UGUUUUUUGAACUUUUUCUUCAAUCGAAUUUUUGAAUUUUCAUCGUGAAUAGUGUCACCGCUAGAUGGUGGAUAGCUCGAGUGGCAUUUCGGGGGGCACGGAAGUUUCGUCUGCUUGGGAAUUCAAUAAAAAAACAUGUGAGGCAACAACAGGCAAGCGAGUUAAUUUUUAAUUUUUUUAAUUUUACUUUUCUGAGAAAGUCGUGAAUAGAAAAAUAGGCUUUGAAACAGAAUCUAUUGCCGAUUGACUGUCAAUAUGGACCUUAAUUUUCAGAUAAAUAGUGUCAAGGACAGAAUGAGAAACAAAGCACCACAGGAGAUUGCACUUGAAGUAAAGGAAAUUUGAGAAUGACGAUGAUUCUAAAACUGGGCAACUUUUUUAGGCUUCCAACUUUUUUGAAUGUGAUUUCAAGUUUUUGACCUUGAACACAUUCAGUGGGGAAAAUUGGCUGAAUUCAACCUCAACAAAGAAGUAUUGGAAGUAGUUGCCCAGGAAAAAGUUGAACUCUAGUUUCUAUCAAUAAGUUGGACUCCCCUGAAAUUCAUGUUGCCAAGCAGAAGGGAUCAUGAGGAGGUUGUUUUGACUCCACACAAUUCUGGAACCUGAUAUGAGAAGUUCCGUUUACAGAGGCAAUAGCAGAAACCAAAUUCACUGAAAAUGGAAAUCCAAUCAAACUGGUGAAUGUCAAUAGUAACCAAAACAUUGAAAUUCCGCCACGUUAUCGCUCUUUUCGCCUUCUAGAAGAUGAAGACAAUUCUGUUACAGACACUGAUCGAGUCCGUCGCAACGGCAGCGAAUCGUUGGAGCGACAGGCGAGUAUCAUUCGUUCCCCUUGGGGCGUAGAGCAGCGAUUGAGGCUGUUGUGGCGAGAGUAUUUCUCUCUGGUGGUUAAUGUGCAGCUAAACAAAAUGGGUGACGUUGGCGGAAGCAGCCCUCAACAUUUUAGUGCAGAUUUGAUCACAGUCCUAUCUUUCUGUGCAUGCUGGUAUUGCAAUGUCAUCAUCAGCAGUUCAGCUUCUUUACUAUUUUGGGUGUUGAUGUUUGUGACUUGCAAAUGUGAACUGACUCCCUGGACAUCAAAAUAGGGAAAAUCGGCAUGGGAUAUAUGGAAGGCUGCAGCAGUAGGAUCCAUCCUGGUUGUGGACUGCAAGAUGACGUGAACGGUUCAAACGUUAUUUUCGGGCAGGAUGCAGACAUGGGCCGGCUUUCCUCCUUUCCAGAUCAAGAAUCCAAUCGAUAGUUUAGAUGAGUGAAUUCCAGGUCAGCCAAUGAGGCGUCACUACUUUCGAUAUCAGUACAUCACCGCACAAUUCCGGUGAAACGAGUGUACAUUGAAGCCUACGUAUUUCAUUUUUAAAUACGUCGACACUUUAUUUUUCGGCAGUUGCCAACGAGAAAUCCUCACCGGAAGCCGCUGACAAUAGGAUCAUAGCCUAAAUGUAAGCUGAUGUGGACGGAUUCGAAUUGUGCUAUUCAUUCAAUAUCUACUCGAAAGGAAAUAACAUGCGUCUUAAUAUACUCAGAAUUUCAAAGUCGGAUGGCUCGGAUGAUGUUGCGCUGUCUGAAAGCAAUCCAUCAGUCCAUCAGUCCAUCAGUCGUUCGUUAUUGCAAAGGAAUCCAUCGACUGCCACUAGGUGGCUACAACUGUGUUCACCAGAUGGCGGCCAUUACCAUUCUGACGGACGAAUUAUCCGCCAUUGCUGGGAGAGUCCGUCCGAGACGCUGAGCAAAAAUGUGCUGCCAGUUGCUACAUAAAUGGUGUUCCACGACAUUUUCACAAUGAAAAAUGAUGAGGUAAUCUAUCUUAUAAUUUCAACUUGGCCAAAUCAUCUUAUCACAUGUCCUGAAACUGAUGUCAUAGAUAUCUAAUCAUCCAUCUAUCAGCCUGUUGACUGUUUCUAUUUAAUGGGCACUCCAUUGUCAAACAAUUGUUUGUCUAUCGCCUACUUCCUUUUUUUUUUCAUUCACCGAAGGAACAAGUCAAAUGACUCCAAUGUCAAUUGGUAUAAAACCCAUCCAGAGCAUCGUCAACCUGCAGAGGGAAAGGCAUGUCCUUGACUUGAAGAUCACGGAGAUCAUUAUGUAAAACGUGUCUUGUGGUGUAGAGGUUGGGUGAGAAUGGGGAAGUGUUGCAUCAUUAUCAUAGUGUUGCAUAUAUCAAGCAGCCGCAAGGCUUAAGAGGUGAAUAAGGAUGGGGAAAAAUCGUAUAAAAGGCGAAAGAAAUCAGUCGAGUGAGCAUCUGCGACACGUCAACAACUGCAGCGCGCAAGUUGUCACAAACUGCCUUCUUUAUCAUGUUACCAGUUCGCAAUCAAAAUGGUGUACCUGUACUGUGCCCCUGGCAAGACAUAGGUAAAGGGGCCUGAAAUUGCCAUUUUCUCCCCUUCAUAAAACAUCAACGACUUCAGUGAGCCUCUCCGACACGGCAACGACUGCUGCAGCUUUCAAAAUUUUCACCAACUGCCUUCUUCAGCAUUUUAAAUCAAUUAGCAAUCAUGGUUAAUUAUGGCGUUGUGCUGCUGUUGGGUGUUGUAUCGUUGAUUUCUGGGUCGACUACGAGUGUACCGAUGCCUCCUGGAUACGGAGGCCCCGAGUUACUUCACCAAAGCGUCUGAGUACUACACUGAGGCUCCCAAGUACUACACCACCACAUCUCUAGACUACUUCACCGAGAUUCCAGUUUAUUACACCACUUAGCUAUCGAAUACCACAACGAAGUGCCAAAGUACUACAUUGCAAUCUACGCUGCCCCAGCUUACACCACCAAGGGACCGGAGUACUGCACCACCAAGGGACUGGAGUACUAAACCACAACCUACGCUGCCCCAGCUGACUACACCGCCAUGAGCAACACAGUCACAUCUGAGGCAGCCAAGUAUUACUGCACAGCGGCCGCCUCUUAGUACUAAACUGAACCGGAAUACUGCACUGAUGCUCCAGUUUACUACACCACAACCUACGUUACACCAAGAUGCUACACCGAAGCUUCCAAGUACUGCACCAGCACGGCCGAAUAUUACACCACCACGUUGCUGCCCUAGUCUACUAUACCGAGGAACCCAAGUAUUACUCUGCUCCAAGCAACUACCGAACAGAGGCUCCUGUUGACUACACCACCCAUGCCCCGGGGUUUUACACGCUGCCCCCAUCUACACCCCCAAGGCUCCAAAGUACAACACCACUAAGGCAGUCGAGUACUAUACCACUACUUACGCUGCUCCCACCUACUACUUGAAAAUUUCUGGAGAUAAAUUAUAAGUCACUUGCCUAAUACUUGUGAAAAACUUAAGUUGUGAGAAAAAUAUAUAACUACUAAACAUUA